rnacentral:rRNA from 1 species
UACGUAGGGUGCAAGCGUUGUCCGGAAUUAUUGGGCGUAAAGAGCUCGUAGGCGGUCUGUCGCGUCGGAUGUGAAAAUCCAGGGCUCAACCCUGGACCUGCAUUCGAUACGGGCAGACUAGAGUUCGGUAGGGGAGACUGGAAUUCCUGGCGUAGCGGUGAAAUGCGCAGAUAUCAGGAGGAACACCGGUGGCGAAGGCGGGUCUCUGGGCCGAAACUGACGCUGAGGAGCGAAAGCGUGGGGAGCAAACAGG